UCCGACUUGAAAAACACCGAUCGCCAUAGUCGAGUUGGAUGAAGAAGACGAUUUUAUUGUCUGUUCACGAUUUUUAUUUGUAACAUCCUCUCGCUUUGAAAAUUCCCGGGCACGCCACUGAAUACAGACGUCCAAAACCGUCCAAAUGUCAAAAUCCGCAAUCGGAAUUUUCCGCGUUUAAAAUUCGGAAUUUUAUUUUCAUACUACUAAACCUACUACCCGGGAGACAAAAAGACGGGACAUCAGCCGCGCCGUUUGCGUAGAUCCGUUUUUUUAACUAAUGGAUACGACUAAACGCAGUAGCUAAACAGGCGCGAAUAGAUAUUCUAUGAAACGGCCACUUUGUG